rnacentral:rRNA from 1 species
GAAUGGUUGGACGAAAUAUAUACUGUUUCAUUUAAAAUUUAAAUAGAAUUUUAUUUUUUAGUUAAAAAGCUAAAAUAUAGUCAAAAGACGAGAAGACCCUAUAAAUCUUAAUUGUGUAUAAAUUUUUAAUUUGGAUUGAUUUUUUUAAGUAUAAAUUUAUAUAUAAUUUCAUUGGGGUGAUGUUAAAAUUUAAUUAACUUUUAAUAAUUUUAUUCAUUUAUUUAUGAUUAAGUGAUCCAUUAUUAGUGAUUAUAAAUUUAAGUUACUUUAGGGAUAACAGCGUAAUUUUUUUGGAGAGUUCUUAUCGAUAAAAAAGUUUGCGACCUCGAUGUUGGAUUAAGAUUCAUAUUUAAAUGUAGAAGUUUAAAUAUUAAGUCUGUUCGACUUUUUAUUCUUACAUGAUCUGAGUUCAAACCGGUGUAAGCCAGGUUGGUUUCUAUCUUUGAUUUAAUAAAAUAUUUUAGUACGAAAGGAAUUAGUAUUUAUUUUUUAGAAAUUUAAUUAAUGAAUAAAUUUAAUUAACUAU